rnacentral:misc_RNA from 1 species
GGAUCAGCACAGCGAGUUCCUGAGGGAAGUCUCUCAGACGCAUUUGAAAGUGCACUCGCAAGACCAUUUUGCCCAGCAGGUGUUAUAAGAGGAUAAUAGGACCUAAGAAGACGUGCUGCUGCACUCCAUGCAGUAAGAGGAUCUCCACCACGAACAGCUGAUAGAAGUAUUUCCCUCAAAACAACCAUUUGAAUGCUACUCCAUUGAGAUUCAAAUAGUGAUACUAUCCAAUUGUGAUGCGCUUUUCCACCAUCAACAUGAUUUUGUCCACUUUCCUUCAUAUAUAAUGAAGAGAGAUGGAAAAUAAAUGU